UACAGAGACUGCGAGCGUUAUUCGGAUUCACUGGGCGUAAAGGGUGCGUAGGCGGCUUGUUAAGUCAGGGGUGAAAGUUUUCGGCCCAACCGGAAAAUUGCCUUUGAUACUGGCGAGCUCGAGUGCGUGAGGGGUAACCGGAACGAGCAGUGUAGCGGUGAAAUGCGUAGAUAUUGCUCGGAAGGCCAACGGCGAAGGCAGGUUACUGGUACGCAACUGACGCUGAGGCACGAAAGCGUGGGGAGCAAACAGG
rnacentral:rRNA from 1 species